rnacentral:rRNA from 1 species
CCGGCUAACUACGUGCCAGCAGCCGCGGUAAGACGUAGGGGGCCAGCGUUGCUCGGAAUUACUGGGUGUAAAGGGUUCGUAGGCGGUGUGGCAAGUCGGGAGUGAAAUCUCUGGGCUCAACCCAGAGGCUGCUUCCGAAACUGCUGUGCUUGAGUGUGGGAGAGGCGCGUGGAAUUGCAGGUGUAGCGGUGAAAUGCGUAGAUAUCUGCAGGAACACCCGUGGCGAAAGCGGCGCGCUGGACCACAACUGACGCUGAGGAACGAAAGCUAGGGGAGCAAACAGGAUUAGAUACCCUGGUAGUCCUAGCCCUAAACGAUCAGGACUUGGGGUGCUUCACGUUCGUGGAGCGUCCCGGAGCUAACGCGUUAAGUCCUGCACCUGGGGAGUACGGUCGCAAGACUGAAACUCAAAGGAAUUGACGGGGGCCCGCACAAGCGGUGGAACAUGUGGUUCAAUUCGACGCUACGCGAGGAACCUUACCUGGGCUCGAAGCGCACUUGACUAGCUAUAGAAAUAUGGCCUUCCCGCAAGGGACAAGUGUGGAGGCGCUGCA